UGGACUCUGGCAGGAAAUCCUUCUGGCGCACACACAGCGGAGGAGUGGAACUGACCCAGUACAGAAAGUUCCGCAGACAUCUGCACAACGCCGCUUCAAUCAGCGCUCGCGUCUAAUUAGCCGCCGCGGAGUCGCGCGCGCGUUUUUUAAUCUCCGAGCGGCUGCGCGAGACAAACAAGGUGAGCGGGACCGCGAGAUGACAUGUCAAUAACAUGUCGAGUCUUUCAAGUCCUCCCGGAUAACAAGCACCGGCGUGUUUGCGCGAGCCUCGAAUCCCAACGUGUCAAUUUGCGAACCUAUUAAAGAUUUCCCGAACCUCUCGAUGACAGCGACGGUUCCGUGCGUCAGCUCGGAGCGGGACGUGUUUAAUUAGACAAAAGGUGGUGAUGUGCGAUAAAGCGGCGGCGCAGACACGAUGCGGCGCGCAAACACGGACACGGGCGCCGACGCCGCCUCUCGCGGCAGAUAACGUCUGUUCAUCACGUCAGGAGCGCGGCUCGUCUCCAGGAAGUCCGCGCCAACGUGCCGCCUUUGAAGUGUUAAUUGGAUGCGCUGGAAGCCAUCUUUGGUUUCACAAAACAAAAAUCUCUGACUGGAAGCAAACACUGUUAAAAGUGAGUCCUAACUUUUCGCCUUAAAGUGCGACGCCUGCUUCGCUUCUGCUCGUGGAACCCCGCUGAAGCGCGUGGAGGCCGAGGCGCGUGCAGGCUGCGGAGCUUAAGAGGCGUUUACGGACGUUGAAGGAGUCCAGCGUCUCCGCUGACAAACAGUGGUCAGCGCGUCUGAAGUCUUAUUUGACUCGUCUAAUUCAGGCUGACUUUUUCAAUAACGCUUGUGAGCUAACUCAAUCGAGCAACAGACAGCCCCAUGAAUUGCCCUGUCACUCACUUGGAGUUUUGCAUUUGCAGCUAAACUCGCAAUCUGCUCGGCUUUAACACAAUUACACGGCAUCAAAUGAAAAUCAGUGUUGUUCAGAGUACAUUUGCAAGAGAGACUUAGGGGUCGACGCUGGCUCCUACGAAGGGACGGAGGCAGAGGAAAUGAGAAAAAGCGCCGGGUGCUUGACUUCGCAGCUGAACAGGGCGUCGUUGUCCAGCUGGGGGUUGAGGGUCCAGGUGAGCCGGGCCUGCACCACCACCGAGCCGUCGCUCUGGGGCACGUGUGUGUGGCUGAAGAAGUAGAGCGGGU